GGCCUCGCCCGUCUAUCCAGGUCCUCUUCCUGCACAGAGGAUUCUGGGAGAUGUAGUUUUCUGCCCGCCGCUGGUCGUCACGUGACGUACUUCCGCCUGCGCCGCCCUGCGGCUGUGAAGGAGUACGCGCUUAACGGGCUGUAUCCGUCAGGGCUUCUGUGCUCAGGGGCGGGGCGGGGGCGUUCUGUUACAGAGACUGCGGAGCUAGCUGAGACGCGAAGUUAUCCUGGCCCAGAAACGUCCUGUGCGAAACAGGAUCUUGACCAGCUGAGCCCCCACGGUCGAUCCCGGCGUAGAAGCAGCCAGCCCGGCCUCGGUCCCUCCUGCAUCAGAGCUACAGAGCGCCUGCACGAAACAGCCCGGGAUGGCCACCAGGUUCCCUACAGCUUCGUGUUCGAGGAGCUGUGGUCUGGCGCACAGAGUCGUUGGGCAGGAUGGCGGGGAAGGAGUUUAAGGAUUCAAAGCGGGAAGGAGCAGUGUUGUGAGAGGAGAGAGCCAGUGGACCCUCUGGACCGUGCAGGUGGUUGGAGGACUGAACCAGAGGGAGACUUAACAGCGAAUGCUGAAAUCCUGAGCUGUUGGUACACCGGUGAUGUGUCCGGUCUUGAGAACACUGUUGGAAGAAGUAUCCAGGGACAGAGUGUAUGUAGCUUUUUUUAUUUUUCCCUUUCCUUCUUUUAAGAUUUAUUUAUCUUUGCCUGUGGCUGGGGGUGGUGGCGGCGGGGGUAGGUCUUCCUUGCUGCUCCGGCUUUCUCUAGUUGCAGUGAGUGGG
rnacentral:lncRNA from 1 species